UACGUAGGGGGCGAGCGUUGUCCGGAAUCAUUGGGCGUAAAGCGCGUGUAGGCGGCUCGGUAAGUCCGGUGUGAAACCUUGGGGCUCAACCCCAAGCCUGCACUGGAUACUGUCGAGCUUGAGUCCGGGAGGGGAGAGCGGAAUUCCUAGUGUAGCGGUGAAAUGCGCAGAUACUAGGAAGAACACCGGUGGCGAAGGCGGCUCUCUGGAACGGUACUGACGCUGAGACGCGAAAGCGUGGGGAGCGAACAGG
rnacentral:rRNA from 1 species